GAGUUUAUGAACGCCAGCCGCGGCCGGCGAUAUACGGCCUCGUCUUUUACCCCAUUUUAUACACCUGCAUUUUUCUUUGAUGUCUAUGUCAAUGUAAUACAGGCGAUAUUAUAGACAUCCCCAAUUAUUGUACGCUGCUCUGCAUAUACCUGCGCUUAUUUCCACCUACAUUACCAGUAAAUGGCAAACUCACCGCAACUGCUUGCUUCGCUUCCCUACAAUAUCCAUGGGUUUCUGCUGUUUAUGGAUUUGGGUUUUGGCUGCCUGUUGGAGCAUAUUCUUCCAAGGCCAAAAUACAUAUGAUUUAAACGCAGGUGCUUCUGUGAUUGCCAGCAUUUCAAUCAAUGGAGAGACUGCCAUAGCUGAGACGGACACCCAUUUUAUAUGUGCCACUUUAGACUGGUGGCCGCCGGAUAAAUGCGAUUAUGGGACGUGCAGUUGGGGAAAUGCUUCUUUGCUUAAUUUGGAUCUCAAAAGUUCACUGUUGGAAAAUGCUGUGAAGGCUUUUGAUCCAUUGAAAAUAAGAUUGGGUGGAUCAUUGCAAGACAAAGUCAUCUACGAUGUUGGACAUUUGAAGCAACCAUGCUCUCCUUUUACCAAAAAUGUUUCCCUGAUGUUUGGAUUUACGGAUGGGUGCCUUCCCAUGUCAAGGUGGGAUGCCCUGAACUUGUUCUUCAGGAAAACAGGGGCUGUGGUAGCAUUUGGAUUGAAUGCUUUGAAUGGAAGGAAAGAAGUAUCAAAGGGUGUUUCGGAAGGGCCUUGGGAUUCAACCAAUGCUUAUGAUUUUAUUCAGUAUACAGUUGAUCAUGAUUAUCAGAUAAAUGCAUGGGAACUAGGAAAUGAACUGAGUGGAAAGGGUUAUGGAACAAGCAUUAAUGCUACGCAGUAUGCAGCUGAUGUAAUUAACCUCAAAGGGAUACUGAAAAAGAUUUACAAGGAUUUUCAAGUGAAACCCCAACUUGUUGCACCUGAUGGAAACUUCGAUGCAAAUUGGUAUAAGGAAUUUCUUCAACAAUCAGGACCGGACAUUGUAGGUGUUGUUACACAUCACAUCUACAGUCUGGGUCCAGGUGUGGAUCAACAUCUUGUGGAGAAGAUAUUGGAUCCAUCUUAUCUUAACCAAGUAGAAUCUACAUUCAAAAGCCUCGAAAACAUCUUGGAAACUUACGGACCUUGGUCAAGUGCUUGGGUUGGUGAAGCUGGUGGAGCUUAUAACAGUGGGCACAAUCUCGUUACUAAUGCUUUUGUCUCUAGUUUUUGGUAUUUAGAUCAGCUUGGCAUGGCAUCCACAUACAAUACAAAGUCUUAUUGCAGGCAAAGCUUGAUUGGUGGUAAUUAUGGCCUUUUAAACACAACCACUUAUGUGCCAAAUCCUGAUUAUUACAGUGCACUUCUUUGGAACCGACUAAUGGGAGCACAAGUUCUGUCCCUAACAUCAAACGGAACAAAAUUCCUGCGGCCUUAUGCACAUUGUACUAAGAAUGCUACAGGUAUUACCUUACUCUUGAUAAAUCUUAGCAAAUUGGAUGACAUUAUGGUUCAAGUAUCAGCUUAUUCUCAAAUUAGAGGGCAGAAGAAUCUUACUGCAAGGACUGAUCCGGUAAGCAAGACAUCUAGACUAGAGUAUCAUUUAACCCCAAAAGAUGGGGAUUUACACAGUCAAACUAUGCUUCUCAAUGGAAAAGCUUUGGAUGUAAGUCCCAAGGGAGAGAUACCAUCUUUAGAACCAAUAGAGGUGAAUCCCCAGAUGCCUAUUUCAAUAGCUCCUCUCUCAAUUGCAUUUAUAUCUCUUCCUUAUGUUCAAUUCCCAGCAUGUAGAUGGUGACAACCAGGGAACAUAAGUUAUCUUCACAAAGAAAUGCUAUUGAAAAGAGGCUUACAGAUGGAUGGGCAUUUGGAACCGACAAAACAGUGUCAGAUGACCGACCAGAAGAGUAAGUCUCCAUUGGCAGCGCAGAAAUCCAUUUGUCCAGAUUCAAUGUCGACAAUAGCACUUCCUUUUGAUGUUCAUGUCAGUGUAAAACCUGCAGAUAAAUCUGAAAAUCGGUCGCCCCCAUUACCAUAUAUUUCUCUUUAUAUACCUACUUUAAGUUCCACCUACUUCACCAGUACAUGGCACACUUAUUAUCGCUACUUACUUCGUUUCCCAAUUAUAUCCAUGGCUUUCUGUUGUUUAUGGAUUUGGGUUUUCGCUGCCUGUUGGAAUGUAUUCUUCCACUGCCAAAAUACCCAUGGUUUUAAUGCAACUGCUCCUGUGUUUGCCACCGUUUCAAUCAAUGGAGACAAUGUCAUAGCUGAGACGGCUGAUGAUUUUAUAUGCGCCACCUUAGACUGGUGGCCCCCGGAAAAAUGCGAUUAUGGGACUUGCAGUUGGGGAAACGCAUCUUUGCUUAAUUUGGAUCUUGGAAGUUCACUGCUGGGAAAUGCUGUGAAGGCUUUUGAUCCAAUGAAAAUAAGAUUGGGUGGAACGUUGCAAGACAAAGUCAUAUAUGAUGUUGGAAAUUUGAAGCAACCUUGUCAUCCUUUUGCCAAAGAUGUUUCUCUAAUGUUUGGAUUUACAGAUGGAUGCCUUCCCAUGUCAAGAUGGGAUGCACUGAAUAUGUUUUUCAAGAAAACAGGGGCUACAGUGGCAUUUGGAUUGAAUGCUUUGAAUGGAAGGAAAGAAGUGUCAAAGGGUGUUUUGGGAGGACCUUGGGAUUCAACCAAUGCUUAUGAUUUCAUUCAGUAUACAGUUGAUCAUGGUUAUCGAAUAAAUGCAUGGGAACUAGGAAAUGAGUUGAGUGGAAGUGGUGUUGGAACAAGAAUUAGUGCUAAGCAGUAUGCAGCUGAUGUAAUUAAACUUAAUGGGAUACUGACAAAGAUUUACAAGGAUUUUCAAGUGAGACCCCAACUUGUUGCACCUGAUGGAUUUUUUGAUGCAAAUUGGUUCAAGGAAUUUCUUCACGAAUCAGGACAAAACAUUGUAGGUGUUGUUACACAUCAUAUUUACAAUCUGGGGCCAGGUGUUGAUCAGCAUCUUGUGGAUAAGAUAUUGGAUCCAUCUUAUCUUAGCCGAGAAGAGAUUACAUUCAAAAACCUCAAAACAAUCGUGGAGAAAUAUGGACCUUGGUCAAGUGCUUGGGUUGGUGAAGCUGGUGGAGCUUAUAACAGUGGACACAAUCUGGUCACCAAUGCUUUUGUCUUUAGUUUUUGGUAUUUAGAUCAGCUUGGCAUGGCAUCCACAUACAAUACAAAAUCUUAUUGCAGGCAAAGCUUGAUUGGUGGUAAUUAUGGCCUUUUAAACACAACUACUUAUGUGCCAAACCCUGAUUAUUACAGUGCACUUCUUUGGCACCGACUAAUGGGACCACGUGUUCUGUCUGUAAGCUUAACUGGAACACAAUACCUGCGGCCUUAUGCACAUUGUACUAAGAAUGCUACAGGAGUCACCUUACUCUUGAUCAAUCUUAGCAAAUCAGAUGGCAUCACUGUUGCAGUGUCUACUUAUUCUCAAAAUGGAGGGCAGAAGAAUCUUACUGCAAGGACUGAUCUGGUAAAUGGGACAUCUAGACUAGAGUAUCACUUAACAGCAAAAGAUGGGGAUUUACACAGUCAAACUAUGCUUCUCAAUGGAAAAGCUUUGGAUGUAACUCCCAAGGGAGAGAUACCAGCUUUAGAACCAAUAGAGGUGAAUCCCCAGAUGCCUAUUUCAAUAGCUCCUCUCUCUAUUGCAUUUGUAUCUCUUCCUUAUGUUCAAGUCCUAGCAUGUAGCAGAUAGCAGGUGAGGAUUGUGUAGAUCCAAAACAAUAUUCAAAGUUGGCAUUCUUUUUGAAGCACCAAUAUUAUUUGAAUUGAAAUGCCAUUCCGUGGAUUUAUUAUUUUGGAACAUCAAUGAGAUAAAUAAGUUUUCAGUACACCUAGUCGGUGCCUUGUUACGGAUAUGUUAUGUUCAACAGAAAAUACUAUUGAGAAGAGGCUUUACAUUUGGAUGGGCAUUAUGAAGGAAUCCACAAAGUUGGAUUCGUAAUAAUUUUGAUUGUUUUUUCAUUUCCAAUAUUCAUUUUAACAUGACAAAAAGUUCGCAUU